rnacentral:rRNA from 1 species
UACGUAGGGGGCUAGCGUUAUCCGGAAUUACUGGGCGUAAAGGGUGCGUAGGUGGUUUCUUAAGUCAGAGGUGAAAGGCUACAGCUCAACCGUAGUAAGCCUUUGAAACUGGGAAACUUGAGUGCAGGAGAGGAGAGUGGAAUUCCUAGUGUAGCGGUGAAAUGCGUAGAUAUUAGGAGGAACACCAGUUGCGAAGGCGGCUCUCUGGACUGUAACUGACACUGAGGCACGAAAGCGUGGGGAGCAAACAGGAUUAGAUACCCUGGUAGUCCCUGA